rnacentral:rRNA from 1 species
UACGUAGGCACCAAGCGUUGUCCGGAUUUAUUGGGCGUAAAGAGCUCGUAGGCGGUUCGGUAAGUCGGGUGUGAAAUCUCGGAGCUUAACUCCGAAACUGCAUUCGAUACUGCCGUGCUUGAGGACUGGAGAGGAGACUGGAAUUUACGGUGUAGCGGUGAAAUGCGUAGAUAUCGUAAGGAAGACCAGUGGCGAAGGCGGGUCUCUGGACAGUUACUGACGCUGAGGCACGAAAGUCGGGGGAGCAAACGGG